GCAUUGAUGGUUUGGUGGUAGAAUUCCUGCAUUUUAUGCGGGAGAUCUCGGUUCAAAUACUGGUCAAGGUA
rnacentral:tRNA from 1 species